CGCCGCAAGUCACCCUCGCGGAGAGGGCCCGACUGUCCAGAAUGGUCGGAGUCUCUUGGUCCCUGCUGCGGUUCCCUUGAUCCCUUGGCCCCGCGACCUGCAGCGCUUUCGUGGAAGCCCCGGUAUCGAUUUGGACAAUCACGAUUGAUACUUCCCUGCAGUUGGCCCAGGGGAAGACCUAUGGGAGGAACCAAGAAGAGGAGAUGGAAGGGGAGGAGGAGAAAUUUGGACACAGACACAGAGGGAAGACAUCACAAAGGCACAGUAAGAAGAGGGCCACUGACAAGCCAAGGAGAGAGACCCUUCCCUCACAGCCCUCAGAAGAAAUCAACCUGCCAACACCUUGAUUUGGGACUUGAGUCCCAGAACUGAGUGACAAUGAAAUUCCAGUUGUUUAAGCCACCCAAUCUGUGGUAUUUUGUAAUGGAAGCCCUAGCAAAGUAAUACAACACCUUUAUAAGUAGUCUCUUCAUUUAAUAAUGUUUAAUUAUCUUGUUUCACUGUGUUAUCUGUUUCCUGUUGAAACUGGGUUGACUUAGGUCUAUAACUAUCGACUUAUCUAUGCCUUAUUUACUUCAGAUUUUUUUUUCUUCUGUUAAGAAAUUGACUGCUGCAGGGGCACCUGAGUGGCUCAGUAGUUUAAGGAUCUAACUCUUGGUUUUGGCUCAGGUCAUGAUCUCAGGGUCAUUGGAUUGAAUGUUGGGAGUGGCUCAGCACUCAGUGCAGAGUCUGCCUGAGAUUCUCUCUCUCCUUCUCUUCUGCCCUUCCCCC